UUAAAUUAACAUUAAUAGCCACAAACCUUAUCGUAUAUGUUAACUAUAAGAUUUUUCAAGGAAUCCUUUUAUUGAAGUGGCCGCCACCACUACACUUGCUGUUGCCCUUAAAUUGUUUGCUUGGAAGCUGAAAAGGCAUGUCGUGUUGCUACUGUAGACACUACACAAAGAAUGUAAGUGGUAUGGUUGUAUACGAAAAAUUGCGGCUAUUGGAUCUCUAAGCAGUCGAGAUUUUGAAAGUAAUAAAGCUGAAGCGAAAGUUUGCAAUUUGCUAGAAAAUUUGCCUUCACAAAGGAAUCAUAGAGGGCAAAGCCUGUGUUCUUUCUCGCUUACUCCUCUCUGCGAGGCUUCCGUUAGCUUAAUAGCCGGAAGACGCUGAUGGUGGUGGCUUUUGUAGCACAAGCCUCGUAUGUUUAUAAAACUCGGCCAUGCAGGAAUGGCAUCCGGCUACCAGUGUUGUGCCUCAAGACAGUUUGAUGAACUGCCUUGAAAAUUUCUUCGCCGCUGGAGUGCAUCGGUUAAUUACUUUCAACGAACACUUAAAAGCAGUUGGCGUGAUCAGUCUGUCAGACAUAUUGGCAUAAUUGUAGAUCACUUGAGCU